UUGUGAAGCCAUAUGGCCUAAUGAUUAGCAUGUGAGAUUUUGACAAAGAGAAUUCAGUCAGAUUUAAAACCUCAAAACUACUCCAAAGAAGGAGAGCAUUAAGUUUUCAGAAAGAAUUUUCAUUUGAGGAUAAAGAAGAACUUGCUAAUAGCACAAAGGACAUUGAUGCUAAUCUUUUAGCAGUGCUUCCAAAAGUUUCAGAAUUAAGAAAACUCUUUGAACCAA
rnacentral:lncRNA from 1 species